rnacentral:rRNA from 1 species
UUUAAAGAAAGCGUAAUAGCUCAUUGGUUUAAACUUUUUGUAUUAAAAAUGUAUAGGGACUAAAAUUACUUGCCGAAACAGUAAAUUUAAAUUUUAAAAUUUAAAUGGUAGCAGAACGUUCUGUAUAUUUAUAAAGAUCUAUGAUAACAUAGGUUGGAAAAAUCAGAAGUGAUAAUGUUGAUAUGAGUAGCUUAAACGGCGUGAGAAACGCCGUCGCCUUAAAUCCAAGGUUUCCAAAACAAGGCUAAUCCGUUUUGGUGUUAAUCGGUCUCUAAGAGAUAAAACGAAAGUUUUACUUAAUGAGUUAAAGAUUAUAAUUCUUUAUUAAUCAAAAUAGUGACAAAAUAUGAACAUUAUCUUUAUUUUAUGGUUAAAAUAGAGGUAAUUUAGCAUUUUCAAGAAAUAGCUUUGAUUAUUAAAACCGUACCCUAAACCGACUCAGGUGGAUAAAUUUAGUAAAUUAAGGCGUUUGAGAGAAUUGUGUUGAAGGAACUCGGCAAAAUGACUCCGUAACUUCGGGAGAAGGAGCGCCUUA